CAGAGGCCCCAAGCGUUACUGAGAAUCACUGGGUUUAAAGGGUGCGUAGGUGGCGCGUUAAGUCCGUUGUGAAAGCCCUGGGCUCAACCCAGGAACUGCUUCGGAUACUGGCGCGCUUGAGGCGAGUAUGGGUCACUGGAACUGACGGUGGAGCGGUGAAAUGCGUAGAUAUCGUCAGGAACGCCAAUGGUGAAGACAGGUGACUGGGCUCGAUCUGACACUGAGGCACGAAAGCGUGGGGAGCGAACGGGAUUAGAUACCCCGGUAGUCCACGCCCUAAACGAUGCAGACUAGACUGCAGCGGGUUACACCCCGUUGCGGUCGGAGCGAAAUUGUUAAGUCUGCCACCUGGGAAGUACGGUCGCAAGGCUA
rnacentral:rRNA from 1 species